rnacentral:rRNA from 1 species
UACGUAGGAGGCGAGCGUUGUCCGGAUUUACUGGGCGUAAAGCGCGCGCAGGCGGCACACUAAGUACGAUGUGAAAUCUCCCUGCUCAACGGGGAGGGUGCAUAGUAAACUGGUGAGCUCGAGGACGGUAGAGGGGGGUGGAAUUGCUGGUGUAGCGGUGAAAUGCGUAGAGAUCAGCAGGAACACCCGUGGCGAAGGCGGCCCCCUGGGCCGAACCUGACGCUGAGGCGCGAAGGCUAGGGGAGCGAACGGG